rnacentral:rRNA from 1 species
UACGGAGGAUGCAAGCGUUAUCCGGAAUGAUUGGGCGUAAAGCGUUCGUAGGUGGUUCUUCAAGUCUGCUGUUAAAGCGCAGGGCUUAACUCUGUACAGGCGGUGGAAACUGAAGAGCUAGAGUGCGGUAGGGGUAGAGGGAAUUCCCGGUGUAGCGGUGAAAUGCGUAGAGAUCGGGAAGAACACCAGCAGCGAAAGCGCUCUACUGGGCCUGCACUGACACUGAGGGACGAAAGCUAGGGGAGCGAAUGGG